GGCUCAUUAUAUAAGUUAUCGUUUAUUUGAUAGUACCUUACUACUUGGAUAACCGUGGUAAUUCUAGAGCUAAUACAUGCUAAAAAUCCCGACUUCGGAAGGGAUGUAUUUAUUAGAUUAAAAACCAAUGCCCUCUGGGCUCCUUGGUGAUUCAUAAUAACUUUUCGAAUCGCAUGGCCUUGCGCCGGCGAUGGUUCAUUCAAAUUUCUUCCCUAUCAACUUUCGAUGUUUGGGUAUUGGCCAAACAUGGUCGCAACGGGUAACGGAGGGUUAGGGCUCGACCCCGGAGAAGGAGCCUGAGAAACGGCUACUACAUCCAAGGAAGGCAGCAGGCGCGCAAAUUACCCAAUCCCGAUUCGGGGAGGUAGUGACAAUAAAUACUGAUACAGGGCUCUUUUGGGUCUUGUAAUUGGAAUGAGUACAAUUUAAAUCCCUUAACGAGGAACAAUUGGAGGGCAAGUCUGGUGCCAGCAGCCGCGGUAAUUCCAGCUCCAAUAGCGUAUAUUAAAGUUGUUGUGGUUAAAAAGCUCGUAG
rnacentral:rRNA from 1 species